rnacentral:pre_miRNA from 1 species
CUAUAUAUACCCUGUAGAACCGAAUGUGUGUUGGCAGUGCGCAGUCACACACUCGGUUUUAGGGGAGUCUAUGGG